GGAUGAACAGGAACAGCUAACCUGCUCUCUGUUCCUGUAAACGUCCGGUCAUUGAGCUUGUUGGCAUUGGCUUGUGAAACUACUUCUAACUUAUUUCAUACUGGACACAGAACCAUACAAAUGGUAUCCACAAUGGUAUUCUGUUGCAGCUAGCGAUAUUCACAAAAUAAUGAUUUUACUACUAUUACUAGAAGUGGACUAUUCUGUUUUGGCCCAGAUGCUUGGGGAAUGUUGCUUCAUUGGUCACGUGGUUAAAGCAUCAUUCUAUUAAGCAGCUGGCUAGAUACUUAGCAGCGCGUUUUCAAUAUGAAGCAUCAUCGCGAUUGCUGCGCAAUUUGACUGCAAGCCUUUCCUCCCGUUUCCAACUGGACAGCUCUCCAAACGCACAGGUUAUGCCACCCCACAGGCUUCCUGGAACCCCCACUGUGAAAGAGAAGGGCUGAUCCCCAGUCCUCAAGCUCUAGCUACUCUCCUCCCAAGUUCCCCCCCCACCCCACCCACUCCCAGACCCCGGCCCCAUGGCUGCAGGAGGCCAUGGCCCUGCCAAGGAUGUGUUGAUCAACCUGCAUCAGAUUAAUGUGAAAGAAGAGGAGGAGGAGGAUGAGGACUUUUCCACAGAGGAGCAGGAGGAGGACGAGGACUGGGAGAAUGCAUUAUCAGUGGAGAGGUUCGGGAACAUCAUCACUGACUCCGCGAUCAGCGGCGGAGAAAAAAUGGGCCGCAACUACAACGAGAAGGAUUUUGAGUGUAAGUCUUUAGUCUUCUUUAUCGUCUCUGCUUUUGUAGAACGCAAAGUAAACAUUCCAUGAAUGUCUGCUUACUAGUGUUGUCAAGAUACUAGAAUUUUUACUUCAGUACCGAUACCAGGUAUACUAUCACAAUACUCGAGACCAUUACGAUACUCCAUACCUAAACGAUACCACAAAAAAAAGCCUAAUUAGUGAAAGAAUGCCACUUGCUCCAGACAGAUAACC
ensembl:lncRNA